CCCUAAGUUGGUAACUGGCUCACAUUCUAGCUCGGGGUCCAAGGUCUUGUUUGUUUGUUUGCUUUCUUUGCUCCUAGCUGGUUACAUCACGACAUCACCGCCAAGAUUCACCUUUUGGAUUCUGGUCACAAACACUCAAAGGAUUUCAGCCACACUAACCUGCUUGGCCUCCUGCCAUCACCACCCACGCAGAUCCUGGAAAACUCAGUCUCUUCGGUCUUUCCUGGAUCGGAUCUGGUCCUUCGGGAGCCCAGCCUCUCCUCCACUGUGAGUUUGAACUCAUGCGUGAAGCUACAGACGCAAAGGUGAAAGUGGAUUUCUCUUAAGUCUGCGCGGAUGCUGCUGCUUUGUAGCGAUGACCUCAGCGUUUUGUGAGUUUAGAUGCUUGCAGUUGAAAAAAGGAACGAGAGGAGCUCUGACAACAGCUGGUGUUGUUUUCAUGUACAGUGAUGUUGAGAGAGGACCGCGACACCGUGGGGAAAUGCUCCAUCGAGAAGAUGUUCUCCUCAUUAACGAGACGAGAGGAAGAGGUGAAAGCCAACUUCUUUUUUAGUAAAUAAUGGAUAUCCUCUGAAAUAUUCAAAGUCUGCAUUUGAAUUAUGUAACGCAGCCUCUGCGAAUCAAACGUCUCGGUCAGAGUCGGAGUUUCGAGAGGCUGAAGAUGGAAGUCAAAGGUCGUCGUCGUUACUUCUGCUUAAAACAAAGAGCGUUCCCCGGCUCUAAACGGUGACCGCUGUUACCGCAUCACAUAAAAACUGAUCAUUGCAA